rnacentral:lncRNA from 1 species
GGGUAGUGAGGGGAAAAGUAGGCUGGCUCCUGACGCACUUUUCUGGUGCUUGGGAGGGGAACUAGGGACCUGAGCCCACUGCUGACGUCCCUGUCACGUGAUCAGGAGCAGACGUAUGCAGAAGUCUCUCUCUUCCAGGUACCAGCUACCAGCUCCUUAUCUCCGUGAAGGAAGGCAGACUUGAAACCGAACGACAGAGGGGGGAGCAACUGCCCUAUAGCCCGGCAGGUCUUCAAGUCUGUGGCUGUGGGCAGCAACCCAGCCAAGGAAAGGGAAGCCCUGCAGCACCAGUGCAGGACAGGCAACAAAGAAAAAUUGCAACAUGGAAAAGUUCUACAAAGAAAAUGAAGGAAAGCCAGAAAACAAGGGAAGGGCAGAAGAUGAAGGAAGUACAGAAGAGGGAGGAAAAGCAGAUGAA